UCAAUGAUACCAACUAUCUUGUGGAUGGGGACAUAUUUGCUGCAGAAACAACAUACAUAACAGCCAGCCAAAUUCAGUGCAAACUUCCAGCAGAAGGAAAUUACUUCAUAAGUGUGAAAAAUCUGAAUGGACCACCUAGCAGUAAUGCUACAUAUCUAUCAUUUAAUCCAAGCUGUUUUAAAAUAUUUCUUGGGAGUUUGGAAAGAAAGCCCCACACAUGUUUCAUCUCUGGAAACUGCUACGAUGACUUAGAUCAAAACCCCAAAAAUCACACACAAGUAUGUAAUUCUACAAACAAUGCUGACGACUGGACUAGGAAGCCAGAUUUAUGCUUUGGAUCUGAAGUGGAAAGGAAAGAAAAUGGCACAAGUAUUCUUGCAUUCUACAAUGACAUUACAUACAGCAAUGUUUCUGACAGUGAUGUGUGUCUAGAC